AAAUUCGCCUUCAUGAAGCCGGAAUUGCUAGUAAUGGCAGGUCAGCAUACUGCCGUGAAUACGUUCCCGGGCCUUGUACACACCGCCCGUCACACCAUGAGAGUUGGGAAUACCCGAAGCCUGUGAGCUAACUUAUAGAGGCAGCAGUCGAAGGUAGAAUCAAUGAUUGGGGUGAAGUCGUAACAAGGUAGC
rnacentral:rRNA from 1 species